GUCCUUCAAUAUGUUUAGUCCUGUUUAGUCCUUCCAUAUGUUUAGUCCUGUUUAGUCCUUCAAUAUGUUUAGUCCUUCCAUAUGUUCAGUCCUUCCAUAUGUUUAGUCCUUCAAUAUGUUUAGUCCUGUUUAGUCCUUCAAUAUGUUUAGUCCUUCAAUAUGUUUAGUCCUUCAAUAUGUUUAGUCCUGUUUAGUCCUUCAAUAUGUUUAGUCCUUCAAUAUGUUUAGUCCUAUAGUCCUUCCAUAUGUUUAGAACCUUCAAUAUGUUUAGUCCUGUUAGACCUUCAAUAGUGUUUUAGUCCUAGUUUAGGUCCUUCAAUAUGUUGAGUCCUGUUUAGUCCUUCAAUAUGUUUAGUCCUUCAAUAUGUUUAGUCUGUCAAUAUGUUUAGUCCUGUUUUAGGAGUCCUCAGAUGGUUUAGUCCCUUCAAUAUGUUGUAGUCCCCUUCUUAUCUGUUUAUCCGUUUAGUCUGUUUAGUCCUGUCUAGUCCUUCAAUAUUUUUAGUCCUGUUUAGUCCUGUUUAGUCCUGUUUAGUCCUGUUUAGUCCUUCAAUAUGUUUAGUCCUUCAAUAUGUUUAGUCCUUUUUAGUCCUUCAAUAUAUUUAGUCCUUCCAUAUGUUUAGUCCUGUUUAGUCCUUC
rnacentral:lncRNA from 1 species